CAAUAGCGUAUAUUAACGUUGUUGCAGUUAAAAAGCUCGUAGUUGGAUUUCUGGAGGGAGCGUCGGCCCGUAUUUACGAGUGCGUGACGUCUCUGUCCAUCCUUGCGGGAAGGCACGGCAUUGAUUUGUUGUGUCGGAUCGCAUCAUUUACUGUGAAAAAAUUAGAGUGUUCAAAGCAGGCUUUCGCUUGAAUACAUUAGCAUGGAAUAAUAAGAUAGGACUUGGUGCUAUUUUGUUGGUUGAGCCUAAAGUAAUGAUUAAUAGGGAUAGUUGGGGGCACCUGUAUUGCGUUGUCAGAGGUGAAAUUCUUGGAUUUACGCAAGACAAACAGCUGCGAAAGCGUCUGCCAAGGAUGUUUUCAUUA
rnacentral:rRNA from 1 species